UCCACCCUUUGUGAACCAAACUUGUUGCUUCGGGGGCGACCCUGCCGGCAUUCGUCAGCGGGCGCCCCCGGAGGCCAUCAAACACUGCAUCUAUGCGUCGGAGUUUAAAUUCAAUUAAACAAAACUUUCAACAACGGAUCUCUUGGUUCUGGCAUCGAUGAAGAACGCAGCGAAAUGCGAUAAGUAAUGUGAAUUGCAGAAUUCAGUGAAUCAUCGAAUCUUUGAACGCACAUUGCGCCCUUUGGUAUUCCGAAGGGCAUGCCUGUUCGAGCGUCAUUUCACCACUCAAGCCUGGCUUGGUAUUGGACGUCGCGGCUUCCGCGCGUCUUAAAGUCUCCGGCUGAGCCAUUCAUCUCUAAGCGUUGUGAUAUUCUAUUCGCUUCUUGACGAUGAACGGUUCUUCGGCCGUUAAAUCUUCUCAAGGUGACC
rnacentral:rRNA from 1 species